GAUAGGCUAAUUAAGAGCGUAAGGGGAAUGCCUUGGCUCUCAGAGGCGAAGAAGGACGUGAUAAGCUGCGAAAAGUUGCGGGGAGUGGCACAUACAUUAUAAUCCGCAAAUGUCCGAAUGGGGAAACCCGGUUAUUUGAAGAAUAAUCAUCCAUUUAUGGAAGCUAACCCGGAGAACUGAAACAUCUAAGUACCCGGAGGAAAAGAAAACAAUAGUGAUUCCGCUAGUAGUGGCGAGCGAACGCGGAAUAGCCCAAACCUAAGUUGUUUAGGCAAUUUAGGGGUUGUAGGACCACAAUAUUUAUUGCUUAAUGAAUUAGAAUCAGUUGGAAAUCUGAACCAUAGAGGGUGAUAGUCCCGUACAAGUAAAGAGAGUUAAUAAUAGUGGUAU
rnacentral:rRNA from 1 species